GUCUUACGAGGCCCCUGGUUUGCCUGCCUCCUGGCUGACAGGCUCAGCUAUCCCAGCCCCCAGCUGGGGCUGCCCGUGGGUCUCACCUCCCCAGCCUGCAUUAGGAAGGAAGGACGGAGACCUACGUUCUGCAGAGCUGGUUGCCCAGGGCGGGCUGCGACCACAACCAGACUGCCAGCUCCUUGAUGAGUUAGGAGAGAGACACCCAGAGACAGAGGCAGAGGGAUCUCUCUCCAGGUGGUUACAGAAAAAGUUUGCAGAGCCUUGCCCUGGAGGAUGGUGUGGACACAAGAUGGAGAGAACCAGCGUCUCUGAAUCCUUAAGGGGAGGAAAUUUGUUUGCCAGCCAGGAACACCCACUCACCCUGGACUCUUAGUGUGGAAUCUGCAGUGCCCAGCAGAGUGGUGGACAACACGUGGGCUUUGACAGGAGAAGGAAACUGCAUUGCUUUGCUGGAAACCUGGGAGGAGUCCACUUGGCCACUUAAUGAGGUGCAGUUAUCCCAGAGGAGCGGCAUGGAUGGACAGACGCAGUGAAAGCUGGAGGAAUAACAGGAAGGCGCCUCAGAAGAAGGAAAGAGGCAGGCCCGUUAUGACCAGCCACACCAAGGUCGGCAGAAACUGUAAGACGACCCACUGAGACCCUGGGUGGGGUUGCCCGAGAGCAGGAAAGCCCAAAAGCCCUGGCUGCCUCCUCGCCUCACCUCCUGGUCCAGCCUCCCCUGUGUGGCCUCACCUCCUGACACACACCUCGUGAGCCUGCGCAGGUGCGUCUUGGCAAAUCUCAGGGAGGAGCAUGUCUGGCCCCUGCCCUGGGGCAACUCACAGUCUGGUUGGAAGGACUGUGACCCGGGCAAAAAGAACAGUUCCAUAGGCUGUGGCCCUGAUUUGGAGCCCCCUGUGCGCCAAGAAGAGGCAGCUCUAGGCGGCUGGGGCCCCAGGGGAGACUUCCUGGAGGAGACGGUGUUUGCACCGACUUGUGAGACUUUGGCAGACGCUGAGGCCAGAACCCAAUCCUGAAAAGAGAUUCAUCAAAACCUGGCAAAACUACCCAAAGCCUCUUCUGGAUAUGACUUUACUUCAGACACAAUAUUUUGAUCAUUUCCACAUAAGAUGGAUCAGAAACAUAUGCAUUAAUUUCCUCUUAAAAGUAUACACUCGCUGUGCUUGGCAAAACGCAGUGCGGGAUUCGAUGAACGUAAGGCAACCGAAGAAUUGUAUGGGAUCCAAGGCUGGGAGGUCUCAGAAGCCAGAGCGUCUUUCGGCCUGUUUCUGGAGGCUUCUUCUCCAACUCACUUGCAGGGGCCUCAGAAGCCGAAAGUUGAAGUCCAAGGUCAGGCCAGAUCUCAAUGCACUCCUUCUACAGAGGGUCUGACACCAGCUGGCCCCAUCCCGGAGCUGAUUUCCU